rnacentral:rRNA from 1 species
ACCCAGACUCCUACGGGAGGCAGCAGUGGGGGAUAUUGCACAAUGGGGGGAACCCUGAUGCAGCGACGCCGCGUGGGUGAGGAAGUAUUUCGGUAUGUAAAGCCCUAUCGGCAGGGAAGAAUUUAGACGGUACCUGACUAAGAAGCCCCGACUAACUACGUGCCAGCAGCCGCGGUAAUACGUAGGGGGCAAGCGUUAUCCGGAUUCACUGGGUGUAAAGGGAGCGUAGACGGCCAUGCAAGCCUGGAGUGAAAGCCCGGGGCCCAACCCCGGGACUGCUCUGGGAACUGUGCGGCUGGAGUGCGGGAGGGGCAGGCGGAAUUCCUGGUGUAGCGGUGAAAUGCGUAGAUAUUAGGAGGAACACCAGUGGCGAAGGCGGCCUGCUGGGCUUUUACUGACGCUGAGGCUCGAAAGUGUGGGGAGCAAACAGGAUUAGAUACCCUUGUA